GAAACACACUGUGUUUGCUGGGGCUCUGAAGCCCGAACAGGACACUGUGAAUGAAAAAGGACCAGUGAGAGAUGAAGCUGGACGAGUUUGACUGCGAGAAGAUAGGAGAUGAUUGGAUUGAAAUUGAACCCUGAACUCGUGAUAGUUUAGGGAUGUCCACCACAUCACAACAAAGAGGUAGACAAUACAAAAGGUUUUAAGCUUCACUGGUGAGAGUGUCCAGGUGAUACAUGUUGAGGGAAGAUGAGAACAUAGCAGGUUAAUUGCACGCACGCUUACAAACACACAUGAUUUAUAUAUAGGCCAGGCCAAAGGCCUGGACUUGAUGUAGCUUUUAACUUUACAGCUCCUAACUUGCAGGAAUGGCGGGGAGUGUAAUGAAUGAAUGCAAAACAUGCUUACAGACACAAACAUGACAGGGGUUUAUUUUACAGGGUAAAGGUGGACCACAGGUUGCUUUGUUUCUGCUUAGCAACUACUGAGGUAAAUGGUGUUAAAGAUAAAUAUGCAAUAAGUGAACAGGAAAUGUGUAAGGGUGAGCCGGGUGAAACAAAAUGUUGUAGAUAAUGGAAACUUGUCUAACGGGCAUUAACAGUAACCUUGGCAUGUUAUGUAUAUGCUUGAGGCCAAAAGAGGCGUAAACCCAGAUAGAAAACUUUGAAGUGUGCUUUUUAGCGGAGAUUUAGGCUGACAUGGGGAUGGUGUGCAUUUUACUUGGGUUGUGUUUAAUAAGACUAAAAGCGUUGCUCACACACAUAAAGAGUAUUGAGAUUAAAUAAAGUUAAUAUAAUGGAUAGAGCCCAGAACAGGAUAAUACAUAAGUAAAAUCAAAUGUAAUGUUUGAUUUCACUUUUAUUGGGAAACAAUCAGGCUAGAAAUGUGAGUAACCUAUGUUUAAACUGUGAAAACACUCUCCACAUACAUUAAAACUGUGCAACUCUGAGUGGGCCAUGCAAUCAAGCAACUGUUACAUAUCUGUAUUAAACUAGCCAACAUAGACUCACCACCACAUGAUGUUGCCCUGCAGCGGGGGCAGAAAAUCAUUUGCAAACCAGGGAUCUUAUGUUGAUUAUCAUAUUCUUACUUAUGUACACACACACAC
ensembl:lncRNA